UACGUAGGUGGCGAGCGUUGUCCGGAUUUACUGGGCGUAAAGCGCGUGCAGGCGGUUCGUUAAGUUCGAAGUGAAAGCUCCCGGCUCAACUGGGAGAGGUCUCCGGAUACUGGCGGACUGGAGGGAGGCAGAGGAGAGUGGAAUACCCGGUGUAGUGGUGGUAUGCGUAGAUAUCGGGAGGAACACCAGUGGCGAAGGCGGCUCUCUGGGCCUUGCCUGACGCUGAGACGCGAAAGCGUGGGGAGCAAACAGG
rnacentral:misc_RNA from 1 species